ACCACAACAUACACAUAGUGUGUGUAGGUCGACCAUCAGGAGAAAGAACAAGGGCAAAACCUUUGUUCAAGUUUAAUCCAUCAAAUUGAAUAUCAAUUCGAGACUCAAAUCAGUGCAUGAACAGAUAUGAACGAUCACCUAGUCAAGGUGAUCAUAAGUUUGACGCUUGACAAGCUAGGUGGUAGCUUGGGAAAGAAGCGAGUCAAACGGAUCAAGUACGCGGGAAAAGCAUAAUUGGAUGCAAGGGAGAAUAACAUAUGACUUGCAUUGCUUUUAAUUAGCAAUUAAUAUUGCAAGGUAUUAAAACAGGUCAAUGCUAUGACCCAAGCCAGGUAUGUGUAAUGGGUCAAACUCUCAUUAAGGAUUUAGGUAGAAGUGGUAUUAAAAGUUAGUUGUACUUGUAGAUUAAUGGCAAUGGAUGUGUAGAUUAAAGUCAUUUAUGUAAAUGUUUCCAUCCAUGUCAAUUCACAUGAACUAGUUAUAAAAAAACCAUCG